GAACUACCCUUUUGUAGGUUCGAGAUAUCGGAGAGGGGAAGGAGCUAUAGCGCACAGAGACGACCAAAACCAUAACUAUCUGUUCAAUAUCGUCUUGAUCAAGUUGGAUAAGUAUCUCUUAUCCUUUUUACCUCUGAAAUGAAAACUUUUCUUACUUCUUUUUGAUGUUUCCUGGCUUUCUAGCAUUUAAAUGAUCCGGAAAUUGAUGGUCAAAAUAGCCUGGAGAAAAUAGUUUAUGUUGCAUCUAUUUCAAUCAUGAUCUAUUUUACUUUUUAGCAAUAAGCAGGGUACAUUUAUCUCUUGAGAAUUGCAUUGCUAUCUUCAUGAAUAUCUACUACAUUAUAUCAUGACUGGACAUAAAUCUAUUGCCUAUGCUUCCUGUAGCAUGUGCUUUCAUGCUUUGGAUGCUAUUGAACGAAUACAUACAUUCCUGCAUUAUUUAGUCCAUUAUUUAUGUUCUCUCCUGUGAUAUUCUUCUGCAGCUACGGGUCUGAUCGCAGCUGGUGAUUUUGUGGCGAUUGGGCAGCUUUCUAAGCCAUUUACUUCUGUGUUUCUAUAUGACAAAGAGUACCAUCGUCCCGCUCUUCUGUAUGCGCUGCUUCCUUUAAUCAGUUAGUCCAGUUUUCAUCAACUAUGCCACUUGAGAUAGCUGAUGCUGCUUGGGCUUAUCUCUUUGUUGUUGGCACAAAGCGCAAGGUGGAUCUCUGAAAUUUGUGUUAAUUCAUCACUUUUCAGCAGCCAAUUUUAUAUUUGUUCUGAACAAGAUCUUGGCACGAAUGAGAAUUUCAUGGUUGAAAAUUCUUCCUCAUUGACGGAUGAAACUAUUCCAAAGGCACUAACUACUGGUGCAUUCCAUCAAUGUAGAGAGGUAUCGUGCUUCAACUCUGUUAAGGAAAUGGAGGAAAUGGCUCAAAUUGAUGAGAGCAUGAAGCAGCUGGAUAGAUGUUUCAGGGUAGGAUAUGUCCUUGAAGGCUGCACCAUUCUAUGGUGUGCAAAUAUAUCUUCAUUGUAUUUCAUUAGUUGAAUGCUUUCAGAGAAGAGGUUUCUCAAGUUAAACAUGUCUGUAGAUGUGGCCACAUUAAGGGAGUUCAAGCCAUAAACAUAGAAAGCUCAGAUUGGUUUACAUGAGGAUUUUCACUGCUCCAUACAAAAGCAUUAUUGGCAUCAAAAGCGAAAUCAGAAAAUGAAUGAUGUAACUACUGUUGAAACUCAGAAUUCUAAGUUGGUCUGAUUGAUGCUCAUUAUGUCUAUCUUUUGCUUUGAAUUGCUAAGUUUUUUUACACGAACCAUCAUGAACAUGGAACAUAGUAGAGGCAUGUGUAUUUAUUCUCUCUCUCUCUCUCUCUUUCUACGUUUCAUCCUUGCUUCCUUGCACCAAGAAGCAGGUCUGUUAUUUUUUUUUUUGGGUCAAAACAGGUCUAUUCUUUUGUGAC